GACGAACGCUGGCGGCGUGCCUAAUACAUGCAAGUUGAGCGAUGAAGAUUGGUGCUUGCACCAAUUUGAAGAGCAGCGAACGGGUGAGUAACGCGUGGGGAAUCUGCCUUUGAGCGGGGGACAACAUUUGGAAACGAAUGCUAAUACCGCAUAACAACUUUAAACAUAAGUUUUAAGUUUGAAAGAUGCAAUUGCAUCACUCAAAGAUGAUCCCGCGUUGUAUUAGCUAGUUGGUGAGGUAAAGGCUCACCAAGGCGAUGAUACAUAGCCGACCUGAGAGGGUGAUCGGCCACAUUGGGACUGAGACACGGCCCAAACUCCUACGGGAGGCAGCAGUAGGGAAUCUUCGGCAAUGGACGAAAGUCUGACCGAGCAACGCCGCGUGAGUGAAGAAGGUUUUCGGAUCGUAAAACUCUGUUGGUAGAGAAGAACGUUGGUGAGAGUGGAAAGCUCAUCAAGUGACGGUAACUAUCCAGAAAGGGACGGCUAACUACGUG
rnacentral:rRNA from 1 species